AAUAUUUUAGAAGCAAAAUAGCGGAUUAGAGAAUUAUUUGUUACAAGUCAUCUGAAUAAAAUGCAUCGGUUUGUGUUGCUUCUCGUGUUGAUAUUGUGUAUUGCUUUGUGUAUCGCCGAUGAAUUAGAACCUAAAUCACAGACAUGCAAGGAAAAUUGUGAAGCAAGGGGAUACCCUUCUGGCAGUAAUUCAAUUUGUUAUAUUAUUUAUUGCCUGGGUCAAUGGUGAAGAAAUUAGUCGUUACAGACCAAACUGUUAAAAAAUAAAAUCAUACUGGU